AUAAAAGUGUAACAUUCAAAUCCGUCCAAGAAUGAAUCAAAUAUUACUAGAAAGUACCACUGUGCUUAAAUAAAUAAGUACUUUAAUAUUUAAGUAAUAUAUGAGUAGUAGCAUUUAAGUGCAUAAUUAUGUAUUGGACUUCCAUCGUAUUUCAGUAGAUAAAGUAAGGUAAAGUAGAUAAAUAUCUAUUUUUUAUCAUAGUGAGUGUAUAUUAUUGCCUGUAUGUUGUACAUAGUUGAGUAAUAAAAUUUGAUUUUAAUUCCCAUUUCCGCCGUAGCAAAUCAUAGAGGGCGUAAGAAAUAUGAUUUCUUCCAGGUCGGUAUUUCAGAACGUAAAAGAUAAAGUUCCAUAUAAUAGUGUCAUGUCUAUACUUUAGUCAAUGAUGAUGUAGUUAAUGAUGUUGCAUCAUUGACAUUGACUAAAAAAAAAAUAAAAAUGAUCCGCGUCAAAAUAUUGCAAUAUAUUGAGAAUUUCCUUUUCUUUACUAAUCGUAUUUCCUAUAAUUUUCUUUCCUUUUACUAAUCAUAUUUCAAAUUAAUACUGGUAUAGAUAUUAAUUCAUAAAUAAGUUUAUAAAGAAUAGAAUAGAAAAGCCAAGAAUUAUUCUUCUAUGAAGGAAACAGGUUAUCCUGAACAGUAGUUACUAUAGCCAUCUCGUGAUUCAAAAAUAAAAUUAAAAAGUGUCGGUCAAGAUACUCAUCAGUCGAUGAACAAGCAGCUCCAGGAAGUUGAGGCUAGUUUAUAUAACAAAUUGCAGUUGUGAAUUUUAAAUUAUACUCUGUUUAUGACGUGGACAUGAUAAAAUACGUGGUUCAAAACCUAUUACGCAUAAGUUAUAAAACAAUUUAUUGUAAUCUAUAUCUAAAUGUUGUGGGAAUAUAUUACGUCAUAAUGACGGUAAUUAGGAUUGGAUACCAAUAAUAUUAUCCUAAUGAAUUAUUAAUCUUGAAUUAUAAAAUAUUAUCUUUGAAAUUAUAUGUAGAACAUUUUUGCAAAAACUUUAAAUCACGCAACACUUUUUCCAUCGACAUAUAUUCUAUAUCUAUAUAUGUAUAUUUUUAAAUGUAUUAUAAUUUUGAUAAACCCAAGAGAUUUUGCGAAUUAAUUAAAUCACGUAUAUUUUUACGAACGCGUAUAAUUUACUCAUUGCAACAAAUCUUCCUCUAAGACUUCUUUGAAAUGUCAAACCGGUAUUGAUGAAUAAUAGAAUUUUAUCAUUCUCACAUUUCGGUGGUCGUACAAAUGAUCGAUAUAAGAACACGUACUCUUCUUAUAAAUGAAACAAACACUAUUUUUCUGAACUCGGAGAGCAGAUUUUCAACGACACAUACAAAAUAUCAGUCUAAUUAUAAGAUUGCGAAUUUUUAUGCAUUUAUGAAAAUUCCUAAAGUACAUGAACGCACGGAAUGUGUAUAAUACGCAAAAAUAUAUAAAAUACCCAAAGAUCAGUACUUAUUCCAAUGAAUAUUUAGUAGAUGAAACACAUUUGUUUCAUUUGUUUUAUAAAAAUAUAAGUUUACGUAAAUAUCCGCAAUCUACUAAUUAUCAAUAGAUAAAAGCAGCAUUUUAUUUUAGCUGGUAACAACUCAUAUUUCUUAACGAAUGCAAUGCAUAAUAUCGGACAAUUAUUCGUAAUGCAUGCUGUAAAUUAGAUAGUAAUCUGUUCGUACACUCAAUAACGUUGCUCACUCUUUGCUUUAUUUAUGGAUUGUCGAUUGGAAUCGGCUUUAUCGCAAGCAUAAUUGUAAAUGUCAAAGUUCAUAGGAAAACCCAUUUACACCAAUAGAACGUAUAAUAUCCAUGACGUGAGUUCUACAUCAAAUUAGGAGAAAAUUCUUAUUGCGUAGUCCAGCCGCUUCGUGUGAAAUUGAUGACCUUUGUUGUAAUUUUAUUGUCGUUAAUUAUAGUAUCAAUCGAAGAAAUUUUAUUACGUGUACAUGUGAAUCAGAAACAUUGUGCUUCGUCAUCUUAAGAAACAAACAAUCGAAGCGAAUUAUAGAUAUAUUCUGUGAUCAGUGAAGAACCAAUUCUCUUACGCUUUGUUAUUCAAGGCUGAUGAGUAAACUGCGAGUGAUUAUUUAUGGGGAAUUGAAAUGUGUGCAAAAAUGCACAGUACAGUAGAACGCCUUACAUGAACCCGUUAGGGGACAAGUUGGUUCAUAUAAUCAAGUCGCUCGUAUAACAGAAACCCGUCUACUUUUACCCGUUCGUGAUUUUUCGUUCAGUUAAUAGCAGUUCAUAUUUAUAUAAGAUUCCACGAAAUAUUUACGCCUAAAUAUAUAAUAAUGCUGCAAACUGGUAUCGAUUUCGAGGCAAGAGAUUGUGUCACAUAACACGUGCCUCUACUGUUUACUGCUUACAUCUUACAGUAAGACAUUCAGAUAAGUGGAUUGACGCUCGGCAGUAGUUCAGAUGAAUAGGAGCUCGGUAGAAGUUCAGACGACCAGACACUACUAAAAUUUCCUUCGUAUAUAUACAGGGUGUACCAAGGAUCAUGCUAAAAAUCGAAAGGGAAUGAUUCCGCAUGCGAAAAUCCCAUCUUUCACAGAUAUGCAUGAACGUCUUUGGUAUAAUGAUGGGGAAAAUCCAAGGCAUCUUCACCGUUACAAGAUCUUAGUGAUCCUUGUUCCUCCUCCACAAGAUGAGUAAGAGGUAGAUGUUGACUUUGUAGCCAUUCUAAACCUUGACAAUAAAAAUCAUUACCCCUUCCAUAUGUUUUCACUACACGCGCCAGCAAUGUAUCAUCAUAGAAACAAAAAAAACAAGAGAAGAAAUUCAACGAAAUAUGUACAGAUACAUUGUUUUUAUAAUUCAAUAGAAACUUAUUGUUAGUUUAUUUAUAGCAGGGAUUAAUGAUUGUUGUAAUUAAAAAAGUCAAUAUUCAUUAACUGUAUAUAAUAUAAGUAGAUUACGGAUUUUUGGGUAUUAUAAAUUUUUAUCAUAAAUUUAAGAUGCUUAGAAUGCGCAUAAUAUGCAGAACUAUAAAAAGAUAUUCGAAGUAGAAUAUUUACUAAAUGAAAUAAUCUAAAUUAUUUCUUAUUUAU